rnacentral:rRNA from 1 species
UGGGGAAUCUUGCACAAUGGGCGAAAGCCUGAUGCAGCGACGCCGCGUGCGGGAUGAAGGCCUUCGGGUUGUAAACCGCUUUCAGCAGGGACGAGGCCGCAAGGUGACGGUACCUGCAGAAGAAGCCCCGGCUAACUACGUGCCAGCAGCCGCGGUAAUACGUAGGGGGCGAGCGUUAUCCGGAUUCAUUGGGCGUAAAGCGCGCGCAGGCGGCUCUUCAAGCGGAACCUCUAACCCCGGGGCUCAACCUCGGGCCGGGUUCCGAACUGGAGGGCUCGAGUGCGGUAGAGGCAGGCGGAAUUCCCGGUGUAGCGGUGGAAUGCGCAGAUAUCGGGAAGAACACCGAUGGCGAAGGCAGCCUGCUGGGCCGGCACUGACGCUGAGGCGCGAAAGCUAGGGGAGCGAACAGG